ACAGCCCAGCAUCUCUGACUUUUCUGUUCGCCGGGCUUCCGUCUGGCUCCUGAUGCCUGCGUUUUCAGGGGUGUUUUGCUUCCAUUAAGAUUCUGAGGACACCAGCGGCCUGGAGGCUGGCUCGGUUUUCUAGAAGACCCAUGGCUGGGGCUCCCUCUACGCCCCUGCGGCCGCCCUGUGGAACAAGAUGGGAAGGAAGGAUCAGCAGGAAAUGUACCAGGAAAGGCAACAAGAAAUCAAAGCAUCUACUCAAAAGGAUGAGAGGUGCCACAUGGCACAUGGAUAUCUUUAGCGUGGACUGGACUUAGUUUCUUGGGACACAAUCAACUAUCAGGUGUCCACUGACUUUGUGCACGAAACUGCCUACCAAUGCAAGAAGAUGCCCCCUGCAUGCCUGAAGCGUUGAGAACAUGAGGCAGGAAAGGAGACAUCCAUGCACAAGAAACCUGUGACUAUAACAUUUUUAAUAUGUAAUUGCUCUGUGAGAUUUUAUUUUUGGAAAUGCUAUGCCACCAGCCAAGAGAUGCUCAGUGUGGCUUGGGAAGGUUCUUCUCCUCAGAUUUCCAGCUGGACAGACAAUGAGGAGGUCAUGCUGCAUGGUCACACUGUGUGAAGCCCAAGGGCAGGGUCUGUGCCAAGGGCACAUGGUGGAUGCCGAGUGAACACACGAACAUGUGGGCGAGCAAAGAGCUGAGUGCUAAGAGGUAUUCCAGCUCCAAUGAUUGUGAACACAGGGAUCUCCCACCUGGAAGGAAAACUCCACACAGGUACAGGAGGAUCUGAAAAAAUGGACAACACAAAAAUGUGCGUCUGUAAGCUGGAGAGAGGGGCUGUGGGGCAGGAGAGAUUUCGGAUGGAGAUGUUACGAGGCUUCGCUUCUGCCCUGGAGGCCUUGAGUGAAAGGAAGCGCUCUCUGCUGCCUUCUGACCACUUCCUCAGGACCCGCUUCACCCUGUGGAGCUGCAGCUGGAAGUGAAUCAACCCAGGGAGUGCUAGGAAAACGAAGCUGCUUUAGUGACCACAGCCAUCCCAACACAACAGUGGGUCAGCAUUUUGACUACGAGGGCCAGGAAAGGCUGGUGGGGAUUUGAGGGAAUAUGAAGACAGCAGGGACAUCCCACCCACCGAGGCGCUCCUUAAGGAACUGUGCCAUGGUCACAGGUAUGUCUAUGCACCCUCCAUGGUGCUUUGCAUGAACUGGUGCUCAGGAAUGUAGAAAUAGAAUUGGACAGAAAUAAAUGCUGUUUUUUCCUGUCCAGGUAUUUACAACAUGGUGGGGCAGUGGUCAGGAGACAAGACAGGUUUGCUGUAGUCUUGGGAGAAUCCUCUCACCGCUGGAGCUCAGGCCCACAUCAGUGAAAUAAAGGGCAUAGCAGGAUGAUCGCCACAUUAUUCAAGCCAUGCGAUUUGAGAGCCGUGUAAAGGCUUGGGGUUGGUACGACAGUAUUGCAGCUGGUUUGCAAACAAGGCUCAGAAGUGAGAGCCUCAUUUGUAGAUUGACACAUUGGUCCUGAACUCAGGGCUCUUCACUCACUGGACUGAGGUUGACCUCUUCCUGUUGUCCGAAGGCCCAGGCAGCAAACAUAUUCCAGACUCAGAGGCUGUGUGCCAAAGGUUGCCCCUCAUGAGACCCUGAGGAUGGAAGGCUCUCUAGGUAUCCAGCUGCACAGCCCUCCCCAACAUCUGCUAGACACCCAAAGGAAGCAGUGGGUGA